CGUAGGGACCAAGCGUUGUUCGGAUUUACUGGGCGUAAAGGGCGCGUAGGCGGCAUGACAAGUCACUUGUGAAAUCUCCGGGCUUAACUCGGAACGGCCAAGUGAUACUGUCGCGCUAGAGUGCAGAAGGGGCAAUCGGAAUUCUUGGUGUAGCGGUGAAAUGCGUAGAUAUCAAGAGGAACACCUGAGGUGAAGACGGGUUGCUGGGCUGACACUGACGCUGAGGCGCGAAAGCUAGGGUAGCAAACGGGAUUAGAUACCCCGGUAGUCCUAGCCCUAAACGAUGAAUACUUGGUGUCUGGAGUUUUUAUCCUCCGGGUGCCGUCGCUAACGUUUUAAGUAUUCCGCCUGGGGAGUACGCACGCAAGUGUG
rnacentral:rRNA from 1 species